AGAGUUUGAUCAUGGCUCAGAUUGAACGCUGGCGGCAUGCCUUACACAUGCAAGUCGAACGGCAGCAUAGGAGCUUGCUCCUGAUGGCGAGUGGCGAACGGGUGAGUAAUAUAUCGGAACGUGCCCUAGAGUGGGGGAUAACUAGUCGAAAGAUUAGCUAAUACCGCAUACGAUCUAAGGAUGAAAGUGGGGGAUCGCAAGACCUCAUGCUCAUGGAGCGGCCGAUAUCUGAUUAGCUAGUUGGUGGGGUAAAAGCUCACCAAGGCGACGAUCAGUAGCUGGUCUGAGAGGACGACCAGCCACACUGGGACUGAGACACGGCCCAGACUCCUACGGGAGGCAGCAGUGGGGAAUUUUGGACAAUGGGGGCAACCCUGAUCCAGCAAUGCCGCGUGAGUGAAGAAGGCCUUCGGGUUGUAAAGCUCUUUUGUCAGGGAAGAAACGGUAGAGGCUAAUAUCCUUUGCUAAUGACGGUACCUGAAGAAUAAGCACCGGCUAACUACGUGCCAGCAGCCGCGGUAAUACGUAGGGUGCAAGCGUUAAUCGGAAUUACUGGGCGUAAAGCGUGCGCAGGCGGUUAUGUAAGUCAGAUGUGAAAUCCCGGGCUCAACCUGGGAAUUGCAUUUGAGACUGCAUGGCUAG
rnacentral:rRNA from 1 species